UGUUCCCCAGCUGAUGUUUCAGUGAGCAGUUACUCUCUGUCCAAGGAAUCCCCAAAGGAUCCAGAAGACAACCUUAACAAGCCCCCCGUGGGCACAGCAGCUCCCUUCCAGAGGUGAUGACACUUAGCCUGGACUUGAGAAAAGAAUUAUACAGACAGGAAUUCAAGAUUAAACACCUCCAUAAAAAAGACUCUUCAAGUUCCCCACCAGCAAUGACAGCCUAGGCAUUUGAGUGACACAGAGGAAGCUGGAUCCCUUCAAGAUUUUGAAGACAUGACCUGAGGAGAGCAAGCAAAGUUUCAGAGCCUGGAAUAAGAAAGAGCUAAAGAAAAUUCAUGGAAGCAGUAAAGACAAGAUGCGAAGGAGGAAAGGAAGAAGAGGAGAAAUGAGAGAUACACAGAGGAGGAAACUGAGGCUCAGAGAAAUCUGGAGACCCUCCAAACAUGGCACAUAAAAACUAUUCUUCGACCACAACAAAAUCUCAGUAGGUUGAAACCUACUGCAUGAACAAAAGAAGAGAGAGGAAGCAGUCUCGCUGGUGGAGGUGGAGACAGCAGGCCGAGGCCCUUGCUCCUGCCACUUCGCUCCUGCCACUUCGCUCCAAGGUGGAGCGCCAGCCCUUAAGGACACAACUUGCUGGAAUCGAAAGCAUCACAUCCUGAAUUCAACAAGGGUCUUCCCACCGCACAGCACUGCCAGCCUCUGCUACCCUCGGAACACAAUGCAACCCUCACCCCGAAACUUGGCCUAAGACCAACUGCAACUGUUUUUCCGCCCAUAUCCAACACUCUUCACUCUCUGUGAGUCAGUCGCAGGCCUUACAGAACAGAGAAAAUAACACCUAAUAUAUAUAAAUAAUUCAAGGCUGAGUUUAUUCACGAUGCCGUGCUUUCUCCAGGCAGUGGUUCCUGUAACCUCUCUACCGGCUGGGCCGCCUCCAUAGCAUUUAUUACUGCAGACAAACCGUUAGAAGCUGUUCUGAUUUACGCAUCUACAUUCUGUUAAGGGGGAAAGUUCAUAGCACACUGCAGUUCCUGCUGCUGGCAUCGUGAGAGAAAAAAGAAAAAGACUAGAGAAAAGAAUGGGGAAUAGUCACUCUGCUGGUCUAAGGGGAGCGAGAGAAAUUAGUCUUUUAUGAAAUAUUUAAUUAUUUAUCUGGUGCACACUCUCACUCUCAUACACACACUCACCCAUAUACCUAUACCAGGUAAAAUAAUGUUUUUCAAACAUCUAUCAAGUGCCAACUUACUCUUCUAGGCGAUUGGGAUACACUUCUGAACACACUAGACAGAAUCCCUGCUCUCAUAACAUAGUCCAGUUCUUACCAACAUGCCCGUGGUGACAAUGACACUGCCACCAUCUUUGUCUCUGCAACAGUGUUGCUGCAGGAUUGCCACUUAGCAGACACUCUAUGGCUGCUGAAUGUAUGAGUGAAUCCAACGUGUGGAAUAAAAUAACGUUCCCAACCCAGGGUGCUUUUCCCCUCUCUCUCUUCACCGUCAGGCUCAAUAAGAAAAGCCACAUAAAAGCUCACGUGACACUGAGAUGUGGGUCUGGAUGGCUCUGCUCAUCUUGGCUUGGCUCACUCACACAGCUGGGAGCGGGCUGGCUGUCCACCGGCCAGGUCAGCCUCCGUUGGGAUAAAUGGUGCCUCUCCUCCUCCAUAAAGCAGCAGCAUGACUUUAUGGUCAUUGCAGAAGAAUAGAAAGCAAGCUGAAACAUACAGGCCUUCUCAAGUGUAAUGUUGGUGCUGAGAAACCAUUACUUCUUAGGGAUUUCAUCGGCUGAAGGAAGUCAGAAGGUGAGCCAGACUCAAGCAGUACAAGAUACCAUCUUUAGGGAAAGGAUCUAAAAAGUCACCGAGUAAAGGACAAGGCUAAAAGGGGAGAAGAAUUGAAGCCACCAUUGCAAUAUUUCACAGGCACCCAGCAAAUCAGCAAAAAUCUGUGACGGGAGCCAACCUCUUCAGUGAAGGGUGCUGUCCUUUCCAGUAGCAAGCAGGCACAUUCCCACCCAGGCUCCCUGGGGAGUUUAGGGAGAAAGUAUACAUAUGUCUGAAAAUCGUUCAGUGUGUCUUGAGUGUCCUCCUGCAAGAGCAGGAGGACAAGGUCCCUGAUCCUGACCUGAGCCACACAUAGGGUUGGCACUUGCCUCUGACCCCCUCUCCAAUCUCUUGCUAGAUCUUUUCUCUCCCUUCUUAUCCCAUAACCUUAGGAGACAGGAUGUGCUUACAGUUCAAUAACAGGACAUCAUUUUAUUUUUUAAAUAUAGUUUAUUUAUUAUGCUAUUACAGUUGUCCCAUUUCCCCCUUCACUCCCCUCCACCCUGCACACCCUCUCCCACCCACAUUCCCCCACUUUAGUUCAUGUCCAUGUAUCAUACUUCCAAGUUCUUUAGCUUCUACAUUUUCCAUACUAUUCUUGCCCUCCCCCUGUUUAUUUUCUACCUACCAUCUAUGCCACUUAUUCUCUGUACCUUUUCCCCCCUCUCUCCUCCUCCCACUCCCCUGUUGCUAACCCUCCAUGUGAUCUUCAUUUCUAUGGUUCUGUUCCAGUUCUACUUGUUUAUUUAUUUUGUCUUUCUUUUUGUUUUAGGUGUGGUUGCUAAUAAUUGUGAGUUUGGUGUCAUUUUACUUUACAUGUUUUUUACCUUUUUUUUAGAUA